AGUUGCUUGGGGCUGUUGGUCUCAGAGUGUGUGUACCAUAAGGGAGGGCUGUGUUUCCUGUGUAUGGUAAAGGAACUUAAACAUGACUACCGCCCAUAAGUUGGUGAUCGUCCGUCAUGGCGAGAGUGAGUGGAACCAGUACAACAAAUUCUGUGGAUGGUUUGAUGCCGACCUCAGCGAGAAGGGCCUGGAGGAGGCCAAGAGUGGUGCUAAGGCCAUCAAGGAGGCUGGCAUGAAGUUUGACAUCUGCCACACCUCCGUGCUGAAGCGCGCCGUCAAGACCCUGUGGACCAUCCUGGAAGGCACAGACCAGAUGUGGCUGCCCGUGUACCGCACAUGGCGCCUGAACGAGCGCCACUACGGCGGCCUGACAGGUCUUAACAAGGCAGAGACAGCCGAGAAGCAUGGAGAGGAGCAGGUCAAGAUCUGGCGUCGCUCCUUCGACAUCCCCCCUCCCCAAUGGAACACAACCACGCCUACCACAAGAUCAUCAGUGAGUCAAGGCGCUACAAGGGCUUGAAGCCCGGUGAGCUGCCCACAUGUGAGUCCCUGAAGGACACCAUUGCCCGCGCCCUGCCCUACUGGAACGAUGUCAUCGCACCUGAGAUCAAGGCCGGCAAGAACGUCAUCAUCGCUGCCCACGGCAACAGCCUCCGCGGAAUUGUCAAGCACUUAGAGGGCAUGUCCGACGCUGCCAUCAUGGAGUUGAACCUGCCAACAGGUAUACCCAUCGUGUAUGAGCUGGACGUGAAUCUGAAGCCGGUCAAGCCCAUGGCUUUCCUGGGAGAUGCCGAGACCGUGAAGAAGGCCAUGGAGGCAGUGGCUGCCCAGGGCAAGGCUAAGAAGUAAGCUAGCCUGGACCCGUCAAGAGGAGGGAGAGAAAGUGACUGUCCCCCCAUCCCUUACUAUCAUCCACCCCCUCCAUCUCCCCAUUCACCUGCAGUCCAUUCCAUCCUGGGAUAAAUGCUCUCUUUGGUUGUGGAAAUAUGCCCUGUGUAGCCACCUGUAUCUGAGAGGGAACAUCAUAAAACCCAAAUAUGGUGUGAUUGUUCUAUAGAUCUGUGCAGGUGGUACCGGUACUGCACAAGUCUUGUCCACUCACACAAACACACAGACUCUUGUGGAGUGUCACAGUCCCACUGUAGGAUUGGUGACGCCCUGUGUUAAGGCACCACACUCUGACACAACAAAUAAAGAAACCACCUUUUUGUCUA